rnacentral:misc_RNA from 1 species
UAACCUCUGACCUCUGCACCUCUUUCAGUGUAUGGUACAACCCUUGACAUGGACAUUGCUUCUGACACCAGCGGAGACUUCCAGGACCUGUUGAAGUUACAAAUGGAAGCCCAGAGGGAUGAGUCGAAGCAGACAGUCGAGUCACACAAAGUGCAGAAGGAGCAGGCUAGGCAGGAUGCCCUGGAGCUGUAUGCUGCUGGGGAGAAGCGUUUUGGGACCAGUGAGCGCAGGUUCAACAACAUCUUUUGUACACGCAAUUUCUACCACCUGAAACACGUGUGCGAAUAUUAUACAGAGGUUGCAGGGCACGACAUUGAAGAAGCUGUGAAGAGCGAGACAAGUGGGGACCUUAAGUCCGCCUACCUUGACAUUGUUCGUAUGUCCCGCAGUUUGCCUGGAUACUUUGCCUACCGUCUCAAUAAAAGCAUGAAAGGUUUGGGUACCAAAGAUCUUAACCUCAUAAGGUUGUUAGUUAGUCGAAGUGAGAUCGACAUGGUCCAAAUCAGAGACGAGUACGAACAGAUGUUCGAAGAAACCCUUGCCACGGCCAUCCAGGGUGAGACAAUGGGUGACUACGAAGAGGUGCUGUUAGCUUUGAUUGGGCAUAGGAUGUAACCUGGAUGCAGCCUCAUGGGGAUAAGCAAGUCCCAACCACCCACCACCACCACCACUACAACUACUACUACUACAACUACUACUACUACAACUACUACUACUACUACUACCAGUAUAAUUGUUACAUCUGUUACUGCUAAUACUACUACUACUGCCACUACUACUACUACCCCUACUGCUACUACUGCCACUACUACUACUACUACGAAUGCUACAAUUAUAACCUCCUUUUAUAGUUUCAGAGAAGCUUGAUUAAACGCAACCUAGCAAAAUUAAUGCUGAACAGGGUCUGGCUGCAGGGGUCGGUAGAAUCGGUAGAAUGUCGCAAAUUAUUCAGUUGUAAAAACCCUAAGUGUUUUGAGUUCAAAUCCUGCUGAUGUCAGCAGUGAUCCAUGCGUGCCGCUUUGCUGGGCAAUACACAAUAUGACUAAAGUCCUGUUGUGGAGUGGUGACAUCACUCAUUAUUCAUCUUGAUUUAGUGUUUGUUACGUUUAACCCCCCUUGACAACGGUCGACGCAAAUAUGCGAUCACACUCGACAAAAGGUGGUGCUCCAGCAUGGCCACUGUCAAACGACUGAAGCAAAACAGUAAAGAGUUUAUUUACGUUUAAAAUUCGUUCAGAUUGGGUGCGGGUUGGAUCUUCAUAUCAUUAAAACUUAUCAAAACUCAGAUGGGACUUUUUGCUAUGUUGUAGAAUUACCUAUCCUGCUAGAGCUAAGCAAACGAAUGAUUGUCUAGUUAACCCAAAAGCAGAUGGUGGUAGCAGAAGCUUUGUUGCAUAUUCAGAAAUUAUAAACCUCGUAAAUGAUAGACACAGAGGUUUUUUUCGUCCUUUUAGUGGUUGCUUUACAUGUUUCUCUAUAAAUGCUUAUAAUAAUAAAAUUACUAAUCUUAAAUCUCACAACAUGAGAUAUUCAGCAACAGUACCUUGUAUUAAAAUUGUUUGCCAACAUAACAUGGCAGUCCUGGUUUAGGACGAAUGUUGCUGUAAUUUAGCCCCAUGAGACAUCGUCUCCAGCUGGCUAUAUGACACGAUCUGUGUCCGUAUAUUUUCAAAAAAAGGGAGUCUAGCAUCCCCACUCAGGCGAGCGAUUAUUCUGUGCUGAGGAAGGAAAAUAACCUGGAAAUCGCGAUACACAGAUAUUGUUUUGAGCUGAGUGGGGGUGCUAGAUUCCCUUGUUCGAAAAGAUAAGGACAAAGAUUGUGUCGUAUAGCCAGCUGGAGACGAUGUCUCGUGGGGCUAAAUUACAGCAACAUUUGUCCUAAACCAGAACUACCACGUUAUGUUGACAAACAAUCUUUACUACACCGCUUAUAAUGUCUAAUAUCAUGCACACUAAAAUAUUGGAAGUUUAUCCAAUACUUCAAUAUUGUCAAACACGCAGCUGAAAUACAAAAGAUCAGGUCACGGGAGCCUUCAUUGUUUGACAGCCAUAUUUUCUUUUGCAAACAUUGAAUGCGAAACUAAGGAAACUGACUCUGUAUUUCAUAACCAUUUUAAAUGUUGAUCAAUGUUAAUUUUUCAAAGGUUAUUUAUACAAAGAUGAAUUGUUUUGGAAUUAAAUCAUUUGUGUUGUAAUUA